rnacentral:misc_RNA from 1 species
UUUCCGUAGGUGAACCUGCGGAAGGAUCAUUAUUGUAUAACCGAGGUGCGAGGGCUGUCGCUGACCCGAAAGGUCGUGCACGCCCGAGUGCCCUCACACACAUCCAUCUCACCCCUAUGUGCACCACCGCGUGGGUCCCCCUUUGGCUUGUUCGGAGGGGGGCUUACGUUUUCAGACAAACUUUGUAUGCAGUGUAGAAUGUAUUUUUUGUUUUUGCGAUCACGCAAUCAAUACAACUUUCAACAACGGAUCUCUUGGCUCUC